GGGACGAGAGGAAGAAAGGAGAGAGACUGGAGGAAAAUAAGACGAAGAACUGGAGUUUGUUGUGAGUUAUAAGGAGGACUGCUGUUGAUACGCUCUGUGGGAACUAUGUAAGAGUCUUCAGAUCAACCAAGAACCUUAGACUUACUGCAGAAGAGUCUUCAGCACCUCCUCCAGCAAGCUGCCGGAUGCCAGUUGGGACAACCAAUUGGCAAUUUCCACAAGGAAGUCUUCUCUGUGGAAAAUGGCAACUGGUCGGAGGGUUCUCCGGUGGUGUUGCCAGUGUUAAUGCUCUUUCACUGUUCAAUAAAAUUAUUUUAAAAUCCAUAA